GACGAACGCUGGCGGCGUGCUUAAAACAUGCAAGUCGAACGGACUUCUCAUGAAGCUUGCGAUUGAGAAGUUAGUGGCGGACGGGUGAGUAACGCGUGGGCAACCUGCCCCUGAGCCCGGGAUAACAGUUCGAAAGGACUGCUAAGACCGGAUAUACUUGCGGUGAAGCAUUUCACUGCAAGGGAAAGGGAACGCUCAGGGAUGGGGCCCGCGUCCCAUUAGCUAGUUGGUGAGGUAACGGCCCACCAAGGCGACGAUGGGUAGCCGGCCUGAGAGGGUGAACGGCCACACUGGGACUGAGACACGGCCCAGACUCCUACGGGAGGCAGCAGUUGGGAAUCUUCGGCAAUGGGCGCAAGCCUGACCGAGCAACGCCGCGUGAGUGAUGAAGGUUUUCGGAUUGUAAAGCUCUGUCUUCCGGGACGAUAAUGACGGUACCGGAGGAGGAAGCCACGGCUAACUACGUG
rnacentral:rRNA from 1 species